AGCGAACGCUGGCGGCAGGCCUAACACAUGCAAGUCGAACGGCUCUUCGGAGCAGUGGCGGACGGGUGAGUAACGCGUGGGAACGUGCCCUUUGGUUCGGAACAACACAGGGAAACUUGUGCUAAUACAGGAUGUGCCCUUCGGGGGAAAGAUUUAUCGCCAUUGGAGCGGCCCGCGUUGGAUUAGGUAGUUGGUGGGGUAAUGGCACACCAAGCCGACGAUCCAUAGCUGGUCUGAGAGGAUGAUCAGCCACACUGGGACUGAGACACGGCCCAGACUCCUACGGGAGGCAGCAGUGGGGAAUCUUGCGCAAUGGGCGAAAGCCUGACGCAGCCAUGCCGCGUGAAUGAUGAAGGUCUUAGGAUUGUAAAAUUCUUUCACCGGGGAAGAUAAUGACGGUACCCGGAGAAGAAGCCCCGGCUAACUUCGUGCCAGCCGCCGCCGUAAGAC
rnacentral:rRNA from 1 species